rnacentral:rRNA from 1 species
UCUAAGUGGAGUAGAAUAAAGCGAAACUGCGAACGGCUCAUUAUAACAGAUAUAACUUACUGGUUCUAUUCAUUCUUAAAUGGAUAACUGCGGUAAUUCUGGAGCUAAUACAUGCGUCAAUGUGUGUUCUUAAUUGAGCACACAGCAUUUAUUGGAGCAAAAUCAAUUUUAAAUUGUUUGCUAAACUCUGGAUAAUUCAGCUUAUCUUGAAAAUAUUUCAAGAAGAAACCUUCAGGUAUCUGCUUUAUCAACUAUCGUUGGUAGUGUAUUGGACUACCAUGGUGUUAACGGGUAACGGAGAAUCAGGGUUUGACUCCGGAGAGGGAGCCUUAGAAACGGCUACCAUGUCUAAGGAUAGCAGCAGGCGCGAAAAUUACCCAAUAUCAAAGCGAUGAGGUAGUGACGAGAAAUAACGAGAUCGUUCUCUAUGAGGUCGAUUAUUGGAAUGAGUGCAAUCCAGAAAAGUCGAACGAUUAACAACGAGAGGGCAAGUCUGGUGCCAGCAGCCGCGGUAAUUCCAGCUCUCGUAAUGUAUAGAAUUAUUGUUGCGAUUAAAAAGUUCGUAGUUGGAUUUCUUUGUUGUUUUUGGUUCAAGCUUUAUGUUUGAUACUAAGAAUGGCAUAUUUCAUUUGGUUUGUUUGUUAGUUCAUUCUAGCAAAGAACAAAAUGAGGCUACUUUGAACGGCUCAAGUGCUUAAAGCAUGUCUUCGGACAGAAUACCGGUGCAUGGAAUAAUGGAACAAGGUUUGCGGCCGAGUUUUAUUGGUUUUGUCGGCUGAAACAAUGGUUAACAGGAACAGCCGGGGGCAUUCGUAUCGCUGCGCGAGAGGUGAAAUUCGUGGACCGUAGCGAGACGCGCGACAGCGAAGGCAUUUGCCAAGAGUGUUUUCAUUAAUCAAGAACGAAAGUCAGAGGUUCGAAGGCGAUUAGAUACCGCCCUAGUUCUGACCGUAAACGAUGCCAACUGUUCAUUUGUUUCUUUUUUUCAACAGAAGAAACAAGCGAACGAGACGGAAACGUUCAAGUGUUUCGGUUUCGGGGGAAGUAUGUUUGCAAAGAUGAAACUUAAAGGAAUUGACGGAAGGGCACCACCAGGGGUGGAGCUUGCGGCUUAAUUUGACUCAACACGGGGAAUCUCACCCGGCCAGUACAUCGUAAGGAUUGACAGACUGACAGCUCUUUCAUGAUUCGGUGAAUGGUGGUGCAUGGCCGUUCUUAGUUCGUGGAUUGAUUUGUCUGGUUUAUUCCGAUAACGAGCGAGACUUUGACUGUUAAAUAGGUUAUUCUUUCUUCUCAGAGAAUCAACCUUCUUAAAGGAAUUUGUGGUUUCCAACCUCAAGAAACGGAGCAAUAACAGGUCUGUGAUGCCCUUAGAUGUUCGGGGCCGCACGCGUGCUACAAUGAUGGUAGCAACAGGAUUGUCCUUGACCGAGAGGUCGUGGCAAACUUUUGAGAUAUCUCAUGAUUAUGGCUGGAAUUGAGCUUUGAAAUUUUCUCUCAUGAACGAGGAAUCCCAAGUAAAUGCAAGUCAUCAACUUGCAUUGAUUACGUCCCUGCCCUUUGUACACACCGCCCGUCGCUGCCCGGGACUGAUACAUUUCGAGAAAGUCCUGGAUUUUGUUUCUUCGGAGAUGAGAGAAUGGAUUUAAUCGCGACGUAUU